CCGCUCUGCUCCUCCAUGCAUGCGGGGCGUUUGUGAGGGUAGCUCAGCUGGGCUCUGCACUUUUGGGCUGUAAGUGCGCGUGUUUGCGCACUUGGCCUAGCACGUAGCCUAGCCUUCUGCAGCCAAAACAGCUCUCUUAGCUUGGCUCUAGAGAUACACUGGGGUUGGACGUUGUUAUGAAGCCAGGCUCCUCGCGGCGCACAACAGGGGCAAGUGAAGAGCAAAAUAGUUAUAUUUGGUGUUUUGGCUCGGUCCUAACAUGGUUCACAAACACAAUUUCCUCUUGACCGAACCGUUUGUAUGCUGAAAGACAAACAUGGACUGUUACAACACUUGGAGCGGGUCUAACAUAGCGAGCAAACCAAGCUAACCAUGGCCACCCUCGCAAACAUCCCCACAAUGUCCCUGCUCCUCCCUCCCCACCGGUGUUCCUCCUCCCAUGCUCCGUCGGUCCUCCUCCUUCCUUGCUCUGAUGAGUUCCGCCCUCUCUGCCAGUGCUCCUCCCACCCAUUCGAUCUCACAAGCCACACAUCCCAAACCAUUCUUCUCCCUUCCUCUGCUUCCACUACCACCGGUGCUUGCUUACCUGUUGGCCACCGAUGAGGGUGAGGCCUGUCACAUAUUCCUAUCUCGAUUCUAGCUCGAGGUUGGCUACUGCCAUUUGUUGCUCCUUCUCGUCCUCCUUGGCUACCCGAAAGUGUGCAUAUAGAGAGACGAGACUCGGAGAGUGUACCUGCAUGGCAUAUACUCGCUCAAGCCUUAAUGCCCUGUAUAGUUGAUGAAGCCUAGGUCAGAUGAACAAGGGAAGGGAAGAUGCCUCUGGACAGGCAAGAGCCGCGGUCACUCCAGAACGUGGUACUGAAUGAAUGUCUUGGUGCUUCACCUGAGGGACCUUCCCCUGUAGGGAUGAAUGGUGGUGGCUGAUAGUACCCAUAUGGAUGGUAGGCAAAAUGGAACGAGGGAUACAUCCUAGGAUUCAGUGCGUGGUGCUGGCGUGCUUGCCAUUCAUCAUAGCUGGUGUGCGCCGGUGCUUCAUCAGUGGGGUCAGCGCCGAGCCAGACUGGCUUGUGUUGACGAGCAAACCUCUCAGAGGCUGUCCUUUCAGGUGCCCUCUCAAAAGUCUCUUCCUGAGCUCCUCUCCUGUUCAUCGGUCGUGCCUGAAACUCAAUGUGCAAAGUUUGAACAGAAUACAAUGUCAUCUCUGGCUUAGGUAACUAGAGCUUGGCGUCCCCAUUAUCAUGUAUAAAUCCCCUUUUAUUUUCUUCACAAGGUGCGUGUUGACACUUACUAACACCACUUGGAUACUAGGUUGUCAUCCCCAGCAUGGUAGUAAAUGCAUUAUCAACCAAGAAGUAGGCUCUACAAGAAUUCUACACUAAUCAUUCUAUGGUAUUAUUUCAUCAACCAAGAAGUACACUCCACUAAUCUUUCUAUGGUAUUAUUUCAUAUCUUUCUCUACUACAUCAGAAGAAGUAAAUGCAUUAUCAACCAAGAUGGAAAAUUUGCUCCAUUGGAUUGACCAGAGGGCCAAGUUCAAAGAAGAUCAAAGGGCCAUUGA